CCCCUCUUAGGGCCGUACCUGGAGAGUUUCCAGUACUCUACCAGUCUCGGCUGGGAGGGAGAGUCAAGCGGAGGCCUAUUCCAUUCCUAGCUUGGGCAGUGGCUAGUGAGUGGAAGGCAAUCUGCUACAAGU